UACGGGGGGAGCAAGCGUUGUUCGGAUUUACUGGGCGUAAAGGGCGCGUAGGCGGCCACCGCAAGUCGACUGUGAAAUCUCCGGGCUUAACCCGGAAAGGUCAGCCGAUACUGCGGGGCUAGAGUGCAGAAGGGGCAACUGGAAUUCUCGGUGUAGCGGUGAAAUGCGUAGAUAUCGAGAGGAACACCUGCGGCGAAGGCGGGUUGCUGGGCUGACACUGACGCUGAGGCGCGAAAGCAUGGGUAGCAAACAGG
rnacentral:rRNA from 1 species